rnacentral:rRNA from 1 species
AUGGCUCAGAUUGAACGCUGGCGGCAGGCCUAACACAUGCAAGUCGAGCGGAUGAAGGGAGCUUGCUCCUGGAUUCAGCGGCGGACGGGUGAGUAAUGCCUAGGAAUCUGCCUGGUAGUGGGGGAUAACGUCCGGAAACGGGCGCUAAUACCGCAUACGUCCUGAGGGAGAAAGUGGGGGAUCUUCGGACCUCACGCUAUCAGAUGAGCCUAGGUCGGAUUAGCUAGUUGGUGGGGUAAAGGCCUACCAAGGCGACGAUCCGUAACUGGUCUGAGAGGAUGAUCAGUCACACUGGAACUGAGACACGGUCCAGACUCCUACGGGAGGCAGCAGUGGGGAAUAUUGGACAAUGGGCGAAAGCCUGAUCCAGCCAUGCCGCGUGUGUGAAGAAGGUCUUCGGAUUGUAAAGCACUUUAAGUUGGGAGGAAGGGCAGUAAGUUAAUACCUUGCUGUUUUGACGUUACCAACAGAAUAAGCACCGGCUAACUUCGUGCCAGCAGCCGCGGUAAUACGAAGGGUGCAAGCGUUAAUCGGAAUUACUGGGCGUAAAGCGCGCGUAGGUGGUUCAGCAAGUUGGAUGUGAAAUCCCCGGGCUCAACCUGGGAACUGCAUCCAAAACUACUGAGCUAGAGUACGGUAGAGGGUGGUGGAAUUUCCUGUGUAGCGGUGAAAUGCGUAGAUAUAGGAAGGAACACCAGUGGCGAAGGCGACCACCUGGACUGAUACUGACACUGAGGUGCGAAAGCGUGGGGAGCAAACAGGAUUAGAUACCCUGGUAGUCCACGCCGUAAACGAUGUCGACUAGCCGUUGGGAUCCUUGAGAUCUUAGUGGCGCAGCUAACGCGAUAAGUCGACCGCCUGGGGAGUACGGCCGCAAGGUUAAAACUCAAAUGAAUUGACGGGGGCCCGCACAAGCGGUGGAGCAUGUGGUUUA